rnacentral:rRNA from 1 species
AGAGUUUGAUCCUGGCUCAGAUUGAACGCUGGCGGAAUGCCUUACACAUGCAAGUCGAACGGCAGCACGGGGCAACCUGGUGGCGAGUGGCGAACGGGUGAGUAAUAUAUCGGAACGUGCCCAAUCGUGGGGGAUAACGUAGCGAAAGUUACGCUAAUACCGCAUACGAUCUACGGAUGAAAGCGGGGAUCGCAAGACCUCGCGCGAAUGGAGCGGCCGAUAUCAGAUUAGGUAGUUGGUGGGGUAAAGGCUCACCAAGCCAACGAUCUGUAGCUGGUCUGAGAGGACGACCAGCCACACUGGAACUGAGACACGGUCCAGACUCCUACGGGAGGCAGCAGUGGGGAAUUUUGGACAAUGGGCGCAAGCCUGAUCCAGCCAUUCCGCGUGCAGGAUGAAGGCCUUCGGGUUGUAAACUGCUUUUGUACGGAACGAAACGGUCUGCCCUAAUACGGCAGGCUAAUGACGGUACCGUAAGAAUAAGCACCGGCUAACUACGUG